rnacentral:rRNA from 1 species
UAUAAAUGAUAUACAGUAAAACUGCGAAUGGCUCAUUAAAACAGUUAUAGUUUAUUUGGUAAUCGAAUUUACAUGGAUAACCGUGGUAAUUCUAGAGCUAAUACAUGCUGUUAAGCCCGACUUUUGGGAAGGGCUGUAUUUAUUAGAUAACAGACCAAUAUUCCUCGUGACUAUUGUGGUGACUCAUAGUAACUGAUCGGAUCGCAUGGGCUUGCCCGCGACAAACCAUUCAAGUUUCUGCCCCAUCAGCUUUCGAUGGUAGUGUAUUGGACUACCAUGGCUUUUACGGGUAACGGAGGAUUAGGGUUCGAUUCCGGAGAGGGAGCCUGAGAAACGGCUACCACAUCUAAGGAAGGCAGCAGGCGCGUAAAUUACCCAAUACUGACUCAGUGAGGUAGUGACAAGAAAUAACGGGCCGGGGAUUUCCCCGGGACUGAAAUGAGUUUAAUUUAAACCCCUUUUCGAGGAUCCAUUGGAGGGCAAGUCUGGUGCCAGCAGCCGCGGUAAUUCCAGCUCCAAUAGCGUAUAUUAAAGUUGUUGCAGUUAAAAAGCUCGUAGUUGGAUUUCUGGCAGGGCGCCGAUGCCCGCUUGUUGCGUGUGCAGAGCGCCCUACCAUCCUUCUGUUAACUCUAAUAGGCAUUGAUUUGUCUGUAGAGGGCUCAGAUAUUUUACCUUGAGAAAAUUAGAGUGUUUCAGGCAGGCUUGCGCCGGAAUACAUUAGCAUGGAAUAAUAGAAUAGGACUUUUACCUCUUCUGUUGGUCUGAGGGGUUGAAGUAAUGAUU